CCGCCGGACCCGACUGCUAUCAGAGUGGGACUAAGCCAUGCGAGUCAACGCCGCAAGGCGUGGCAUACGGCUCAGUAACACGUAGUCAACAUGCCCAAGGGACGUGGAUAACCUCGGGAAACUGAGGAUAAACCGCGAUAGGCCAAGAUUUCUGGAAUGGAUCAUGGCUGAAAUCUAUAUGGCCCUUGGAUUGGACUGCGGCCGAUCAGGCUGUUGGUGAGGUAAUGGCCCACCAAACCUAUAACCGGUACGGGCUUUGAGAGAAGGAGCCCGGAGAUGGGCACUGAGACAAGGGCCCAGGCCCUAUGGGGCGCAGCAGGCGCGAAAACUCUGCAAUAGGCGAAAGCUUGACAGGGUCACUCUGAGUGAUGUCCGUUAAGGGCAUCUUUUGGCACCUCUAAAAAUGGUGCAGAAUAAGGGGUGGGCAAGUCUGGUGUCAGCCGCCGCGGUAAUACCAGCACCCCGAGUGGUCGGGACGAUUAUUGGGCCUAAAGCAUCCAUAGCUUGUCCUGCAAGUCCUCCGUUAAAUCCACCUGCUCAACAGAUGGGCUGCGGAGGAUACUACAGGGCUAGGAGGCGGGAGAGGCAAGCGGUACUCAGUGGGUAGGGGUAAAAUCCUCUGAUCCACUGAAGACCACCAGUGGCGAAGGCGGCUUGCCAGAACGCGCUCGACGGUGAGGGAUGAAAGCUGGGGGAGCAAACCGGAUUAGAUACCCGGGUAGUCCCAGCUGUAAACGAUGCAGACUCGGUGAUGGGUUGGCUUCGCGCCAACCCAGUGCCGCAGGGAAGCCGUUAAGUCUGCCGCCUGGGGAGUACGGUCGCAAGACUGAAACUUAAAGGAAUUGGCGGGGGAGCACCACAAGGGGUGAAGCCUGCGGUUCAAUUGGAGUCAACGCCGGG
rnacentral:rRNA from 1 species